rnacentral:rRNA from 1 species
AUAACAGUUGGAAACGACUGCUAAUACCGCAUAAGCGCACGGUAUCGCAUGAUACAGUGUGAAAAACUCCGGUGGUAUAAGAUGGACCCGCGUCUGAUUAGCUAGUUGGUGAGGUAACGGCCCACCAAGGCGACGAUCAGUAGCCGGCCUGAGAGGGUGAACGGCCACAUUGGGACUGAGACACGGCCCAAACUCCUACGGGAGGCAGCAGUGGGGAAUAUUGCACAAUGGGGGAAACCCUGAUGCAGCGACGCCGCGUGAGUGAUGAAGUAUUUCGGUAUGUAAAACUCUAUCAGCAGGGAAGAUAAUGACGGUACCUGACUAAGAAGCACCGGCUAAAUACGUGCCAGCAGCCGCGGUAAUACGUAUGGUGCAAGCGUUAUCCGGAUUUACUGGGUGUAAAGGGUGCGUAGGUGGUAUGGCAAGUCAGAAGUGAAAGGCUGGGGCUCAACCCCGGGACUGCUUUUGAAACUGUCAAACUAGAGUACAGGAGAGGAAAGCGGAAUUCCUAGUGUAGCGGUGAAAUGCGUAGAUAUUAGGAGGAACACCAGUGGCGAAGGCGGCUUUCUGGACUGAAACUGACACUGAGGCACGAAAGCGUGGGGAGCAAACAGGAUUAGAUACCCUGGUAGUCCACGCCGUAAAC